rnacentral:rRNA from 1 species
GAGCGGACAGAUGGGAGCUUGCUCCCUGAUGUUAGCGGCGGACGGGUGAGUAACACGUGGGUAACCUGCCUGUAAGACUGGGAUAACUCCGGGAAACCGGGGCUAAUACCGGAUGGUUGUUUGAACCGCAUGGUUCAAACAUAAAAGGUGGCUUCGGCUACCACUUACAGAUGGACCCGCGGCGCAUUAGCUAGUUGGUGAGGUAACGGCUCACCAAGGCAACGAUGCGUAGCCGACCUGAGAGGGUGAUCGGCCACACUGGGACUGAGACACGGCCCAGACUCCUACGGGAGGCAGCAGUAGGGAAUCUUCCGCAAUGGACGAAAGUCUGACGGAGCAACGCCGCGUGAGUGAUGAAGGUUUUCGGAUCGUAAAGCUCUGUUGUUAGGGAAGAACAAGUACCGUUCGAAUAGGGCGGUACCUUGACGGUACCUAACCAGAAAGCCACGGCUAACUACGUGCCAGCAGCCGCGGUAAUACGUAGGUGGCAAGCGUUGUCCGGAAUUAUUGGGCGUAAAGGGCUCGCAGGCGGUUUCUUAAGUCUGAUGUGAAAGCCCCCGGCUCAACCGGGGAGGGUCAUUGGAAACUGGGGAACUUGAGUGCAGAAGAGGAGAGUGGAAUUCCACGUGUAGCGGUGAAAUGCGUAGAGAUGUGGAGGAACACCAGUGGCGAAGGCGACUCUCUGGUCUGUAACUGACGCUGAGGAGCGAAAGCGUGGGGAGCGAACAGGAUUAGAUACCCUGGUAGUCCACGCCGUAGACGAUGAGUGCUAAGUGUUAGGGGGUUUCCGCCCCUUAGUGCUG